rnacentral:pre_miRNA from 1 species
AGGAGGAACAGCCCUAGUGGCGGGGCCAGGUCUGGAAACCUGGAUUCAGCUCCGGCAGGAACUCCGUCUGCAGGGCCUGGAGGCUCCGGGCGGGG